UUCGGAAGGAAGCUCAAGUGACUGAGUGGCGGACGGGUGAGUAACGCGUGGGUAACCUGCCUCAUACAGGGGGAUAACAGUUAGAAAUGACUGCUGAUACCGCAUAAGCACACGUGAUCGCAUGAUCGAGUGUGAAAAACUCCGGUGGUAUGAGAUGGACCCGCGUCUGAUUAGCUAGUUGGUGGGGUAACGGCCCACCAAGGCGACGAUCAGUAGCCGGCCUGAGAGGGUGAACGGCCACAUUGGGACUGAGACACGGCCCAAACUCCUACGGGAGGCAGCAGUGGGGAAUAUUGCACAAUGGGGGAAACCCUGAUGCAGCGACGCCGCGUGAAGGAUGAAGUAUUUCGGUAUGUAAACUUCUAUCAGCAGGGAAGAAAAUGACGGUACCUGACUAAGAAGCCCCGGCUAACUACGUGCCAGCAGCCGCGGUAAUACGUAGGGGGCAAGCGUUAUCCGGAUUUACUGGGUGUAAAGGGAGCGUAGACGGCAGUGCAAGUCUGAAGUGAAAGCCCGGGGCUCAACCCCGGGACUGCUUUGGAAACUGUGCAGCUAGAGUGUCGGAGAGGCAAGCGGAAUUCCUAGUGUAGCGGUGAAAUGCGUAGAUAUUAGGAGGAACACCAGUGGCGAAGGCGGCUUGCUGGACGAUGACUGACGUUGAGGCUCGAAAGCGUGGGGAGCAAACAGGAUUAGAUACCCUGGUAG
rnacentral:rRNA from 1 species